CCUCUUUAUCGAAUAAAAUAAAUUAACAAUUACUAGCCACAUUACAUAUAUUUAAACUAAUCACAAAUGUUUCAACCUUUUCUCCAGUUGCAAUCAUAUAUUUCAGAGUUGAAACCAACACAGAUCACCCCAUUUUUUCUCCUUGAGAUUAUUAAGCCAAAGACACACGCAUCUAGUCCAGAGGUCAGCACACCGAAGUUCUAAUAAAUAAAAAUAUUUUUAGGAGAAUAAAUAAACUAAAAACCAUCCAGCCACCAUCCGAGAUAUGUUUUAAUAAUAAACAUAAACAAUUUAAAAAAUUAUAAUACUAUUUUAGUAGUACCUCUUCAAAAUACUGAAUGUUUUUAACAUUUCAGAACAAUUUUUAAAACUUCUGUAGUACCCAAUUCUUUUAGGCAGUUUACGGUAGGUCCGGCUUUGAUUUAUUUUUAUGGACAAAGAAACUUCUUUGACUAAUACAUACUACAUAAGGCAGUCCGCACGUAAGUUGGGGGUAGCUACCAAACGCGCACUCUCCCACCCUCCGCAUGGUAAUGGCCGAUCCAAUCAUGAUGGUCUGUGUUUACCCGCCCGUGCUUUGGAAUGUUCUAGAACCUAGACUAAAAACCCUCGACCAUUUAUUUUCUAUUUUCCUUUUUUCCUGUUGUCGGUCUUAUUCUUGUGUUCACAUUUUUUGUUUAAUGUUUUCUUUCUAUUUUUAAAAUUCACUUAAUUUUAUUAAUUCAUGAAUGUUCAAUAAAUCUAGGAAUAUUUAUAAAAUUGUUGGGUUUUGUAAAAAAAAUAACCUUUUAAAUUUAGAAUAUUCUAUUUUUAAAACAUUUUUAAAAUGUCAGAGCAUCUUUGAAAGUUACCAAUUUUUUAAAAAUAAUUCUUGAAAAAAUUAAUUUCUUGAAUAUUUUAAAAAAUUCAGGUCAUUUUAUAAAAAAUUGGCAGUAGACGACUCUUUUAUGCAGUUUAGGAAAAAAAAGAAGUAGGUGUGUUCUUCUUUUUAUUUUCUAAAACUUAUAGAAUUCGUGAUUUACUUACAGAAUUCAGAAACAUUUACGAAAAUAUAUCAUUUUAGUAAAACUUUAGAAUAUUCUAAAAAGUCAUGAACAUUUUUACAAGCUCAGAGCAUCUUUAAAAUUUACUGAGAUUUUUUAAGUAAUUCUUGAAAAUUUUACUUCUAUGAGUAUUUUAAAAAUUAGGAUUUUUUAGAAAAAAUGGCAGUAGCCUACUCCUUUAUGCAGUUUAUUAGGUAAAAAAUAAUUAGGUCCGGUCUUCGUUUUGUUUUUUAUGGAAGCAAAAAAGUUUUUGGCCAGAGUGGGAUUUGAACCCAUGAACAUUUCUAAAAGUUCAGAGCAUCUUAAAAAUUUGCCGACAUUUUAAAAUAGUUCUUGAAAAUUUUACUUUUAUGAAUAUCUGACAUUUUUUGCAGUAGCCGACUCUUUUAUGUAGCUUAUUAGGGGAAAAAAUAACCAGGUCCUGUCUUCUCUUUAUUGUUUGGAGGAGGAAGGAAAAACGAAUGUGAACAGAGAGUGGGAUUUGAACCCACGCCCUUUCGGACCAGAGCCUUAAUCUGGCGCCUUAGACCAACUCGGCCAUCUGAUCGGCUGUGUAAAUCUCCACAGUUCGCCGAAGAAGUUACUUUUGGUCCUUGCUGAUCUUCUGUUAUGUCUACUCUUACAUAAACCAACUUGUAAUGGCUUAGUUGAUGUACUUGGUCUCCACUCCUUCCUGUGGGUAGUUAGGUAGUGGCUUGCUCUGAUUUGGUUAUAAGCAAUAUCUCAAACGUUGCUUACCUUCGUCCUAGGCGCCUGCUGAUGCUUUUGAUGAGCUAAAUCCUUGAUGGUUAUUUAGCUAGUCAUAACUCAGCUCAGCUAGAUAUAGUUUAGGCGCUUUGGGCCAUGUCUGGAUGUUACUGCUUUCCUUUUUACAGUAUGUUUCAGUAGUUGUAAAAGACGCUGUGGUUUCCGAUAAAUGAAAUCGGAGGGGGAGCCCUCUUUAUCGAAUAAAAUAAAUUAACAAUUACUAGCCACAUUACAUAUAUUUCAACUAAUCACAAAUGUUUCAACCUUUUCUCCAGUUGCAAUCAUAUAUUUCAGAGUUGAAACCAACACAGACCACCCCAUUUUUUCUCCUUGAGAUUAUUAAGCCAAAGACACAAGCAUCUAGUCCAGAGGUCAGCACACCCAAGUUCUAAUAAAUAAAAAUAUUUUUAGGAGAAUAAAUAAACUAAAAGCCAUCCAGCCACCAUCCGAGAUUUGUGCUAGGAAAUAACCAGGUUAGCAAUGGCGAUUCGUCACAGAAGUCCGCAAGCAGUGAACUAUUUAUUGCUUUAUGAUACUGAUCACCUCCUUUGCUUGCUGGUCUACGACGCUACAGACUAUAUAGACCUUUUCAUGUGCAUCACUAUCACCAAAUUCCUGCAAAUAAAGGUGGGAAACAUGGUGAGAACCCAGAGCUUUCUUAAUCAAUCAGCAAUAAAAAUUUGCUCAUCAAAAGAAGUAACAUAACACUUAGCAAGCAAACAUUAAACUAG
rnacentral:lncRNA from 1 species